rnacentral:lncRNA from 1 species
AAAUUUUAAAUAUCAUCCAGUAAGAAAGACCAUAUACAAAAUUAAAAUUAUGAAUGAGAAAUUGAAAAGAUAUUUGUAACAUAUAUGAUAGACAAGGAAAGCCAGUAAAGGCAGUGUUUAAGAGCAUAGGCUCAGAAAUGAGAUUGCAUAGGUUCAGAUAUUAACUACACCACAUCCUUAGUCUUUUGACCUUAGGCAAGUUAUUUAACGUCCUUGGGCCUCAAGUUUCCUCAUCUAUAAGAAGGAGGUAAUAAUAAAUCUAUUUUCUUGGGUUAGCUGAGAACUAUUAUAAUUGCCCAUGAUAUAUCAAAGGUUAAUUAAAUCAAUAAGAUAAGCGGAACUGAUCUACUAGAUAUUGAACAUGAAUAAAAACCUAUCUAUCCAUUUCAUCUUAUUUUCAGCUACUCCUUGGCACAAAUCUUACAUAUCAAAUUGUCCUGGUCCACAUUCUCUUUAAAUUGGGUGUAGAUUUCUGUGAUGGUUAAUUUUCGAUGCCAGCUUGACUGAGUUAAGGGAUACCCAGCUGGUAAUAACUGGUAAAGCAUUAUUCCUAAGUAUGUCUGUGCAGCUGUUUCUGGAAGAGAUUGGCAUUUGAAUUAGUGGACUCAGUAAGGAAGAUCCACCCUCCCCCAUGGAUAAGCAACAUCCAAUUGGCUGAGGGCCUGGAUAGAACAAAAGGGCAAGAGAAAGCUGAAUCUGCUCGCUCUUCUGGAGCUGAGACACUCAUCUUCUCCUGCCCUGGCACAUCAAAACUCCAGGUUCUCUGAUCUUUGAACACUGGGACUUAAUCCAGCAUCCCCUUACUGCCUGAAGUUCUCAGGACUUUGGACUUGGACUGAACGAUGCUACCAGCUUCCCUGGCUUUCCAGCUUGUAGAUGGCGUAUCAUGGAAUUUCUCAGUCUCCAAAGUAAUAAAUUUGUAAAUUUUCACAAGCAAGAAUCUUCUUCUACUUCUUUAACCUCACAAUGCAUAGAACAAGCAACCAAGAACCACAAAAAUCACUGGCCACUGACAAAUGACACUUCAAGAGGAAUACAGGCUUAAUAGCUGCGAACACAGGUUCGUUGAACAAAUGAAUAAUUUUGAAUGAUUCUUGCAUCUCCAUUUGGUAUUGUCCUUCCUUUUUCUUCUUUUUUCUUUCACUUCUACCCACCUACCAACCUCACAAAGUGUCCAGUACCUCACCCUAGAAUAGGUGAUACCUCUAGGAUACCUCACCAUAGAAUUCUGACUAGAAUUAACCCUACACAGUCAGCUCUAUAACUGUAGAGUAUUACCCACACCACCAAAAUAUUCUUCAUCAGAAUGUCCUGAGUUUGAUACAGUAAUCCAUGCUUAUAUGUCAAUGGAUGCUCCCCUCCUGGAUCAAAUAAGGUAGGUUUCAUAGGAAGAGAGACAAUAGAGCUUUAAACAAAUGGAGUUGACUUACAAAAAUUUUAACGUCCAAUGCAGCCAGUGAGGGAGAUCCUUUGAGGCAUUUAGGAACCUGUAGCAAUCUUUAAAUCAUAACAGAAUAGAAAAGAAGACCUACGAAUAGAAUAGGCUUACUAUAUUGAAUAAUAUGUAAAUUCAUAUACCUUUCACCAUACCUUGCCUUCUUACCUUCUAUCCUCCAAAUUUGUCAAACUGAAGACAUUAAAGUUGGUAAAUAUAUUUAUGACAAUUAGUCUUACUACUAUGAUUAACUAGUUUCAGAUUCUGACCAGCGCUUAUAUAACAUAACUCCCCAAUCCUGAAUUUUCUCAUUGUGCUAUUCGUCUGAUUACAAAAGAAAAUAUAUUUUUGUAAAAAUUUAGAAAAUAUAGAAAGUUUAAAUAAGAAAAUGGCAGUAAAUCAAACGCAUAAUCCAAAUAGCCAGAAAGAACCAUUAUUAAUAUCUAGAUAUAUUUCUUCUCAGUCUUUCCCUAAAAACUAUAAUUAUAAAAAUAUAUACACAUAUAAUAUAUACUUGCCUAAUUUAAUCAAUAUCCUAAAAAUAAACGUUUAUCUGUCCUACAUAUGUAACAUAGUUUAUGUAAUAAUUUUCCUGUUCUUAGACAUUUAAAUUAUUUCAAAAUUUUAAUUAUAAGAAACAGUGAGCAAAACAUGAUGAUAUAAGAAAUUUUAUUAUCAUCUCUACUUAUUUCCAUAAAAAAUCCUGUAAAUGCAACUAUUGGGUAACAGAAUAUAAAUAUUUCAAGACUUCUCAUAGUUUACUAAAAUUACACUCAAACAGUAGAAAUAGUAAAUAUGUGGGUAAGUAUAUAAAUAACAAAUAUAUGUAUAUGUUUCUUUCCUUAUUGAAAACACAUAUGACUGUUUAAAGCAAAAAAGUAUGACAC